rnacentral:rRNA from 1 species
AGCUCCAAUAGCGUAUAUUAAAGUUGUUGCGGUUAAAAAGCUCGUAGUUGGAUUUCUGUUGAGAACAUGCGGUCCGUGUUUUGCACGAGUAUCGCCUUGGUCUCGGCAUCCUCUUGGGGAACGUUGCUGUGCUUUACUGCGCGGCACGGUAUUCAAGACUUUUACUUGAGGAAAUUAGAGUGUUCACGGCAGGCAAUCGCCUUGAAUACGUUAGCAUGGAAUAAUAUUAUAGGACCUUGGUUCUAUUUUGUUGGUUCCUAGAGCUAAGGUAAUGAUUAAUAGGGACGAUUGGGGGCAUUCGUAUUGUCACGUCAGAGGUGGAAUUCUUGGAUUGUGUUAAGACGAACUAGUGCGAAAGCAUUUGCCAAGGAUGUUUUCA